rnacentral:lncRNA from 1 species
GCCAAAGUUGAGAAAUACUGGUUUAGUGGGAGACAGAGAUGGGUUAACAAAUCGCUCCAACACAAGGCUCCAACACAGGGUGCUCUAAUAGAGAAGGGGACAAGCCUCUCUGGGAACACAGGGAAGCAUGUGACUCCUUGAAUAGACAAGGGUCAUCAGAGACUGCGCAAAAAAGAUGAUACGUGAGCAGAGUCUUAGAAGAUGAGGGCAGCUUGCCAGCAAUCCACAUCUGAAACAGAUCUGUGUGGGCAUUUUUAAAGAUUCUCCUGAGGUUUUUGGAUGGUCCAGCUGAAGGCAGAGAGUAGAUUUCUCAUUCUUCUCCUAUCACUGUCCCCGUAAUUCGGACAUCUUAGUUUACUCACCUGCAUAAAACAAAGUCUCAAGAAGAAUUCCUCCUUCUUCAAGAAACCUCAGGCUUUGUUCUCAAGGUCUUCAACUAAAUUAUGAGGCCCCCUCACAUGAUGGAAGGAGUUUGUUUUCUGAAUCUCUAAUGUCCUGCUAUCGAAGACCGAUUACAGAGGGUUUUCUUCAUUGACCAUUAGGGCACUUUCCACUGAAAAUGGUAAACAAUAUUACAAACUAAAAAAAAGAAGUAAUCUGAUUUCUGGGAAGAGGGAGCCCAGUGAAAGAUGUGUGCUUUUAUAAGGAUGGACAAUGGAAAGCAAAAUAAUAACUCCUAACUUUGAUUGUUCAAAUAUAUUCUGCAAUACGGAGAGCUGCAUGCAGGCUGGAGCAGGCAUGGGGCAGGAAGGUUAAGUAGAAGAGAAGGCACAAUACUUCAGAUUGGCAGUAGACUGCAGCAAGAAUAAUCUAAUCAAAACAAAAUUAAAUUAUCUAGUCCCAGGGCAGGCUCCUGGGGCUGCUGCAUUGAAUGCUAGCAGAGCUCCUCCUAGACAUUUUUCCCCAGUCAAACUCACAUGAUGAAUGCAGAUGAAAUUUGAAAUAUGAAAAUCUGAAAUAAUUUAUGGAAGUUGUCAGAAAUUUGGCCUGCUUGUGGUGUAAUUUCCUCUGAGACGAGGCAGGCCGGCUCACUGCUGCAAGACUUGGAGCGGCUGCCGGCCUUCCAGUGGAUGGAUCAACCCCUUUAAAAUGCUCUUCCAGACAAAUUACAGCUCAUUACACACAGCCUUGCACCAUGCCAUUAUGUCAGAGGAAAUCUUUUUUCAUUUGCACAAAUUUGCUUGGAAUUCUCAUAUUUAUUUGAGCAUCCAUUAUCGAAUCCGAACAUUGAAUUAUCCACAAUUAUUUU